AGCAGUAGCCGCGGGAAUACGUAGGGUGCAAGCGUUAAUCGGAAUUACUGGGCGUAAAGCGCACGCAGGCGGUUUGUUAAGUCAGAUGUGAAAUCCCCGAGCUUAACUUGGGAACUGCAUUUGAAACUGGCAAGCUAGAGUCUUGUAGAGGGGGGUAGAAUUCCAGGUGUAGCGGUGAAAUGCGUAGAGAUCUGGAGGAAUACCGGUGGCGAAGGCGGCCCCCUGGACAAAGACUGACGCUCAGGUGCGAAAGCGUGGGGAGCAAACAGGAUUAGAUACCCCAGUAGUCCCUGUCUCUUAUAC
rnacentral:rRNA from 1 species